UACGUAGGGGCAAGCGUUGUCCGGAAUCAUUGGGCGUAAAGAGCGUGUAGGCGGCCUGGUAAGUCCGCUGUGAAAGUCCAGGGCUCAACCCUGGAAUGCCGGUGGAACUGUCAGGCUCGAGUCCGGAAGAGGCGAGUGGAAUUCCUGGUGUAGCGGUGAAAUGCGCAGAUAUCAAGGAGGAACACCAAUGGCGAAGGCAGCUCCGCUGGGACGG
rnacentral:rRNA from 1 species